CAGUUGCUCGAGGCAGCUUGUCACAGCCAAUUGACUUGUGUGCCGCUUGUAUUGACUGGGUAUCUUGUUAGUUAGCUCUGCAUUGUGUUUAGUGGAGAAAUUCACUUAGGUCUGUGGUAGUCUAUUGGUGGUUAUGUUUAGUAGCCAGUAAUCACAGUAUAUUUGAUUAUUUUUGAUUUGUGUGCACCAGCAUGUGGUUAACAAAAGGGUGGAAUUAGGGCCAGAGUCCACACUGACUGCCACACGUAGUAUCUUGUGUUAGUUUUCAUCAGGUGUAAUGGGUGCUGUGCCCUUUGUGUUUUUGUAGUAAGAAUUAACUCUGUUUAAAUAUAUAGUUGGGUCCAGUCCUCCUUUUGAGGUCAGCGGCACCGGACCUUAUGUUGUUCAAGUCAGCUGUUAGCCAAAAAGCUAAAGGAAGAAUGGAGAACGAGGGAGAGAGGCGUUCUUUCCACAGCUGGAAGUAGCUACUGCCACUAUCUAUCACAGUCUAAGAUGCAAAGAACAUUGUCGUCCGCAAACAAUUCUUCAUGUCAUUUAUUGAAGCAUCUGCUGAAGCAGCACAGCAAUGUGAAACUUACAGAAAGAAACUCCGGGAGCUGCUGCCCGUGAUGCUUGGACGUGUCAGUAGAGAGUGGUGUUACGCAACGGUUUGUAAAAAUACUGAAUACUGCUCUUAAAUACAUGUGUAGAAAUACAGUAGUUCAAAAGUUGGGAUUUACUUGCUUUAUUGUUUUAUUCCAGCCAGUGGUGUUAAGAAAAGAUAUAUGCUUUGUAAAAACCAUACUGCUUGCUGCUGUUAUGAAUAUAGUAGUUCAAAAGUCGGGAGAGACUGCUUUGUUUGGGGGGGAGGGUGGUGGUAGUGAAAGAAACAGUCUCCAACGAAGGUUAAAGUCAAGGGCAACUGGACUUAGUUGAAGAUACUGGCAGUAUCUUCAAUUAAGAUACCAAGUUUAACUAUUGCUCAUCUUGGCUUCUUUCUUCUCCUUAUUUUCACCAAGUAUCCCACCACAUAGUGUGAUGACACCAAAGCUACUAGGACGUCCCAAGUAACAAAGAUGAGAGCUACAAAAUGUACAAAAUGCUUAGAUCCAUCCAUCGUCAACCGCUUAUCCUGCAUACAGGGUUGCGGGGGGCUGGAGCCAAUCCCAGCUGACCUUGGGGCGAAAGGCAGGGUACACCCUGGACAGGUUGCCAGUCCGUCACAGGGCAAAAUGCUUAGAUAAAAUUGCAAAAUAUAUUUACAGAUAAUGUGCUUACAUGGUGUUGUUUGUCUGUCUUUAGCUGAGGACCAAUAUUUGCUUUUAGCUCUGAACUUCUGGACCUUCUGGACAUCAGGGCAAAAUCAACAAACACGGUUAACUCUUGAGUUAAGAGAAAGAGCAGGAGGAAAGAGACAAAAAAACACAGAGUAGCCUAACGCAAGUUCCUCAUGGAGAUGUAAAAUAAUAGGAAUGGUGGUGGUAAUGAUACAAAUAUGAAUAAAAAGGAAUAAUAGUGAUAAUAAUGAUAAUAAUAAUAGGACUAAUAACGAUAGUUGAUACAGUGGGUCAACAGGCCAAUGGGGACAACAGGUUGCAACCUCCGAUCCAGACUGGAGGUCAAAAACACCUGCAAAAAGCCACAGCAUCAUGGGAAAUCCCCAUGAAGCAGUCUAGGCCUAUAGCAGCGUAACUAAGGCAUGUCUCAGAGCAGCAGACCACGAUCCACCCGGCCCAAACAACUGGACCAGGUGCUACGGCGGGUGCGGUGAUCGCUCAUAGAAGAGGAAAGAGAGCCAGGAAAGAGAGCCAGGAGAGGAGCCAUCGACUUAAUUCUGCUCCAAAAGAGGCUGUCUGGACAAAAUGGGACUCAUAUUGACCAGACAACAGAAUUCAGAGCCUGUUGUGGCCACAUCGUUACAGAGACACUUGGCAGGUGGUCCAUGUUCCGAGUUGUCAGCGCAAGACGCCCGGAAAGAUGAGAGGAGGUGGGCUCUGUGUUUCACAUUGAUGAUGUUUGGUCAAGAUGGACUCUGUUUCCCAGAUGUCAGACUGUUUAUUGUGAAGAUGAAACUUUCAUAUUAUCACCUUGUUGCUGCUGUUUACAUUCACCCCAUGCAAAUUAAAAAAAUGCACUGUGGAAA